UCAACACCCGUCCUGGACAGCCCGG
rnacentral:piRNA from 1 species